rnacentral:rRNA from 1 species
AUUGAACGCUGGCGGCAGGCCUAACACAUGCAAGUCGAGCGGAGCGGCGGACGGGUGAGUAAUGCCUAGGUAUCUGCCUGGUAGUGGGGGAUAACGUCCGGAAACGGGCGCUAAUACCGCAUGCUAUCAGCUGAGCCUAGGUCGGAUUAGCUAGUAGGUGGGGUAAAGGCUCACCAAGGCGACGAUCCGUAGCUGGACUGAGAGGAUGAUCAGUCACACUGGAACUGAGACACGGUCCAGACUCCUACGGGAGGCAGCAGUGGGGAAUAUUGGACAAUGGGCGAAAGCCUGAUCCAGCCAGGCCGCGUGUAUGAAGAAUGUCUUCGGAUUGUAAAGCACUUUCAGUUGGGAGGCGUUACCGACAGAAGAAGCACCGGCUAACUCCGUGCCAGCAGCCGCGGUAAUAC